AGGCUUGUAGCUCAGGUGGUUAGAGCGCACCCCUGAUAAGGGUGAGGUCGGUGGUUCAAGUCCACUCAGGACUA
rnacentral:tRNA from 1 species